AUCAUUAGUGUUAUUAUUACAAAGUGAACUGCUGUCGUUUCACUGUUGUUGUUGUUUUUGCUUAUAGAGAUGUAACUUACUCCAGAGACGCACUAACUUGCACAGCAUUGAAUGGAAAAGGCUUUGUCCAUGUCCAGUUGAGGGGCAUCAAGAACACGCAGAUGGCCUAAACCUGUGUCAGCCUGGACAGACUGCAGUUCUGCUAUUCCACGCCAAGGCUUUUGUAUGGAUGUCUGACUACUGCUGUGUUCUCUAAACUAGGUAUUACUGGAGCAAAACAACAGCACCUGUUACAGUGAAAUUUGUAUUCAUAAAAAUAGUGAUACAUGUGUAGCAGGUCCAGUACAUGUGAUGUCAUUGAGAAGUUGUUUUUAUUAAAUGUCAUUAAAACAAAUAAAUAAACAUGCUAUUUAAAUAAAUCUAAAUAUUAAAAACUUGAGGAUUAAGAUGAGAAAUGAAAUGCAUCAUCUGUCUUGCGAAAGGGGUCUACUUAAGAAUUCUGGUGUUUUCCAACUGAAAGGGAUAGUUCACCCAAGAAUGAAAAUUUACUCACAUUUUA
rnacentral:lncRNA from 1 species